UACGAAGGGGGCUAGCGUUGCUCGGAAUUACUGGGCGUAAAGCGCACGUAGGCGGCUUUCUAAGUCGGGGGUGAAAUCCUGGAGCUCAACUCCAGAACUGCCUUCGAUACUGGAAAGCUCGAGUCCGGGAGAGGCGAGUGGAACUGCGAGUGUAGAGGUGAAAUUCGUAGAUAUUCGCAAGAACACCAGUGGCGAAGGCGGCUCACUGGCCCGGUACUGACGCUGAGGUGCGAAAGCGUGGGGAGCAAACAGG
rnacentral:rRNA from 1 species